GCCGGGCGUAGCGGCGUGCGCCUGUAAUCCCAGCUACUCAGGAGGCUGAGGCAGGAGAAUCGCUUGAACCCGGGAGGAGGAGGUUGCAGUGAGCCAAGAUCGUGCCACUGCACUCCAGCCUGGGCGACACAGCGAGACUCCGUCUCUC
rnacentral:SRP_RNA from 1 species